rnacentral:tRNA from 1 species
CGGGGUAUAGCUCAGUUGGUAGAGCGCGUGGUUUGGGACCAUGAGGUCGCACGUUCGAACCGUGUUACUCCGA